rnacentral:rRNA from 1 species
CAGUCGCCGCGGUAAUACGAGGGGAGCUAGCGUUGUUCGGAAUUACUGGGCGUAAAGCGCGCGUAGGCGGCUUUUUAAGUCAGAGGUGAAAGCCCGGGGCUCAACCCCGGAAUUGCCUUUGAAACUGGAAAGCUAGAAUCUUGGAGAGGUCAGUGGAAUUCCGAGUGUAGAGGUGAAAUUCGUAGAUAUUCGGAAGAACACCAGUGGCGAAGGCGACUGACUGGACAAGUAUUGACGCUGAGGUGCGAAAGCGUGGGGAGCAAACAGGAUUAGAUACCCCCGUAGUCCCUGUCUCUUAUAC